rnacentral:rRNA from 1 species
AACGUAGGGGACAAGCGUUAUCCGGAUUUACUGGGCGUAAAGCGCCCGUAGGCGGCCUGACAAGUUGGACGUGAAAGCUCCUGGCUUAACUGGGAGAGGCCGUUCAAAACUGUCAAGCUAGAGUCUGGAAGAGGAGAGCGGAAUUCCCGGUGUAGUGGUGGAAUGCGUAGAGAUCGGGGAGGGAAACACCAGUGGCGAAAAGCGGCUCUCUGGUUCC